AGACAUGAACAGAAGAAAGAAACAGUGCACAAACUAAAAAUAAGCAGUACGUGACCAUAGGAAUGGACCUCAAUGCAGAACAAGGAUUGCCUACUUUCUUCUUCUAGCCUAGGAAACCUAGACCAGUGAGUCAUCCAGAGUAAGAUGCUGAGAACAUGGACACCCUCCACUGGUAACAUAUUUUGCUGAGCCAGCCAGGAGAAAUUCCAGGAGAAGGUAGGCCCAAAGUUUAGGAUUUCUCUCCUUUCCUUUCUGUUUCAUACAGGGGAAUCUCUCCUUGGUGGGCAGUGCCUAAACACAGAGAAAACUGCAGAAUUCUGGCUAUGGCCAGUGAAAACUAACGGUGUCCAUGUGAAGGCACCUAACCAUCACCAACCAGUUUGCUUAAGGGACCUGGGUCUUCUCUCUUUUUCCUUUCUUUCAUUUUCACUGUCUCAACAACUGCUUUCUAGUAGCUCCUUGAAAAUUGAAGGCAAUUGGCUGGAGUCACUCCCAGGUAUUGCCUGAAGGCCUAGGAAUGAAUGGGACUAUUUGCCCUGUGCAGAAGGGGGAAGGGCUCUUUUCCUUUUUGAGACAGAGUUUCACUCUUAUUGCCCAGGCUGGAGUGCAAUGGUGUGAUCUCAGCUCACCACAACCUCUGCCUCCUGGGUUUAAGCGAUUCUCAUGCCUCAGCCUCCCAAGCAGUUGGAACUACAGGUGCCUGCCACCAUGCUGGGCUAAUUUUUAUAUUUUUAGUAGACGGGGGUUUCACCAUGUUGGCCAGGCUCAUCUUGAACACCUGACCUCAAGUGAUCCACCUGUCUUGGCCUCUCAAAGUGCUGGAAUUACAGGCAUGAGCCACCAUGCCUGGCCAGGAAUUCUUGCUUUUUAGGGUUUCACUUAAGUUUUAGGUUAUAAGGAUAAGAAUUCUAGUUAACACAUAAUUCUGUAGGCAAAAUGUGCUGGAAAAGAUUAUGUUAUUAGUGAGAAAAAGAAUAACUUUGUAUAAUUCAGAAGUUAUCAAAUUCUAACUAACUUUUUGGAUUUUAGGCUUCUAGACAGUUUAAGCAUGUUGAAUAUACUUUCAUAAAUAGAAUUUGAGUUCUAUUUCUCUCUCUGCCUAAUUUCUUCAAAAUUUGUAAACUAUUUGUGAAUAUUCUUAAUUCAUGGCAAUAUGUUUGUCUGCAUACAGUUGAGCAGGGUCCCUAGGGCCACUCAGGGAGAAAGAACCCAGAAACCAGACAUGCUUGCAAAAGAAUAUUUCUUACCAGUUAGUCUCUGGUCUCUUUCGCUCUGUGCAAACUGGUUAAAUGAAAGGUAAAAGUCACCAUUUGUCCCUUCUGUAAAGUUUUAAAUUAAUUGGUUUAAUAAUAAUAUGAGCUUAAAUCAAAUAUUUUGUCAGAAAAGUGAAAAAUGUAAUGCUUUUUAUUUAGUUCAUGUGACUUGAGUAAUCUUUAGGAAAUAAACAGUUUUAAAGAUUAUUGGUAAAAUACAGUUGUCUUGAAAAUGUAAACAUGUGGUCUAAGUUAUGUUCAAAUGUUAGGUUUGUUAAAUGCUUUAAGGUCAUAAACUGCUUCUUUGGUGUUUGAAAUUUGUUUAACUUGCCUGCUUUCCAGCUAGGUAAGGCCUGAGGACAGCCCACUCGGGAUGGUCCUGGGGGCUUCUGGGAUGAAAGAGGCCUUCUUGGGAGGCUCCCAGCAUUCCCUGUGCUCUUGCCUCUUCUCCCCUCUGCCUGCCUGAACAUCCCCCUGAGUCCCUGCCAUCCGCUCUCCAUGGGGAGUUGGCCAUGCCCCUAACUAUGCUGGAAACAUUCUCAUAUUAUCAGAACACAACUCAGCAGGUUUUACAUUACAAUUAAGAUUGCUAGGAGUCACCAUUAACAUGUAAUUAAGAUUACUAGAAACAGUUUUAUAUGCAAGAUGUGUAAGAAUAGUAAAAUGUGUUUUGUUUUGUUUUGUUUUGGUAAAAGGUUAUAAAGGGUUCUUGCUUUAAAUUUCUGAGUCAUCAUUUUGGCAAAAUAAGUAAUUUAGGGCAAUCUGGAAUUCCAAAGUCAAACUUCAGUUUCAAAAUUGUCUUUUCUAAUGCCUGGCUUUUUGGAUGGAUCAGAUGGCCCCUGAAAACAUCCAGAAAAGAGUUAUAAUAGAGUUGGAUGAACAGAAAAGUAUCUAUGCUGCAGCUGGCACUUAUGACCUACGGAAAAAUACAUUAAAUGAAGACUAUGGAAAUUCAGUGAAGGAGAUGAGACUGCUAAGUUAAAGACCACCUAGCUUCAGAUGAUCAUGCAACAAAGGCUCCAGCCAAUUCCAGGUGAAGACACCAACCCUGGCCAUCAAGGAGAUACCCUGCCUCCACUAGAGAGAGCAGAGUGAGAGUUCUGUGAUCCUCAAUAGGUAGAGACUACACCCCAAGCCAGCAUGAAGCAGCUACAGAAGAAAGACCAGCUGUCGCUCUGCCUCCCAUAAAGAUUUAUGAAGAUCACGUCUCUCAGUGGGGAAAUGAGUCAAGAAAAUAACGUCUGGAGGCAGGGAACAUAAGGCCAAUUAACACUUCAGCUAUGACAGGAAAUAUCCUUUCCAUAGGGUGUACACUAAGUGACUUUGUAACCUUACUUUGUCCUCUUCAUUUACAUAGGGCAUACAGCAAGUAACCAAUGGAAACUGCUAGAGUGUAUUUAAACCCCCACAAAUUCUGUAAUGGGGCCCUAUGCUCAUGCCCAUUACCACACUGUGAAGUGUACUUUCAUUUUGAAUAAAUAUCUGCUUUUGCUACUUCA